UAUGUAGGUGGCAAGCGUUGUCCGGAUUUAUUGGGUUUAAAGGGUGCGUAGGCGGUCUUUUAAGUCAGUGCUGAAAUAUCCCGGCUUAACCGGGAGGGUGGCAUUGAUACUGAAGGACUUGAGUUCAGUCGAGGUAGGCGGAAUUGACGGUGUAGCGGUGAAAUGCUUAGAUAUCGUCAAGAACACCGAUAGUGUAGACAGCUUACUAGGCUGAAACUGACGCUGAGGCACGAAAGUGUGGGGAUCAAACAGG
rnacentral:rRNA from 1 species